rnacentral:rRNA from 1 species
CACGAACGCUGGCGGCAGGCUUAACACAUGCAAGUCGAGCGCCCCGCAAGGGGAGCGGCAGACGGGUGAGUAACGCGUGGGAAUCUACCGUGCCCUGCGGAAUAGCUCCGGGAAACUGGAAUUAAUACCGCAUACGCCCUACGGGGGAAAGAUUUAUCGGGGUAUGAUGAGCCCGCGUUGGAUUAGCUAGUUGGUGGGGUAAAGGCCUACCAAGGCGACGAUCCAUAGCUGGUCUGAGAGGAUGAUCAGCCACAUUGGGACUGAGACACGGCCCAAACUCCUACGGGAGGCAGCAGUGGGGAAUAUUGGACAAUGGGCGCAAGCCUGAUCCAGCCGUGCCGCGUGAGUGAUGAAGGCCCUAGGGUUGUAAAGCUCUUUCAACGGUGAAGAUAAUGACGGUAACCGUAGAAGAAGCCCCGGCUAACUUCGUGCCAGCCGCCGCGGUAAAAC